rnacentral:rRNA from 1 species
AACGAACGCUGGCGGCAGGCUUAAUACAUGCAAGUCGAACGCCCCUUUCGGGGGGAGUGGCAGACGGGUGAGUAACGCGUGGGAACGUGCCCAAAGGUAGGGAACAACUCCGGGAAACUGGAGCUAAUACCCUAUGUGCCCGAGAGGGGAAAGAUUUAUCGCCUUUGGAUCGGCCCGCGUUGGAUUAGCUAGUUGGUGGGGUAAAAGCCUACCAAGGCGACGAUCCAGAGCUGUUCUGAGAGGAAGAUCAGCCACACUGGGACUGAGACACGGCCCAGACUCCUACGGGAUGCAGCAGUAGGGAAUCUUGGACAAUGGGCGCAAGCCUGAUCCAGCCAUGCCGCGUGAGUGAUGAAGGCCUUAGGGUUGUAAAACUCUUUCGCAGGUGACGAUAAUGACGGUAACCUGAGAAGAAGCCCCGGCUAACUUCGUGCCAGCAGCCGCGGUAA